rnacentral:lncRNA from 1 species
AGGAGGUUGAGGUAGAGAAUUGCUUGAACCCACAGGCAAAGUUUGCAGUCAGCCAAGACAGCACUACUGCACCAUAGCCUGGGUGACAGAGCAAGACUCCAUCUCAAAAAAAAAAAAAAAAAUUUCUUCUUCCAGAUACCCUAAAUCACCUCUCUCAAGUUCAAAGUUCCACAAAUCUCUAGGGCAGGGGCAAAAUGUCACCAGUCUCUUUGCUAAAACAUAGCAAGAGUCACCUUUGCUCCAGUUCCCAACGAGUUCUUCAUCUCCAACUGAGAGCACCUCAGCUUGGAUUUCAUUGUCUAUAUCAUUACCAACAUUUUUACAAAGCC